rnacentral:rRNA from 1 species
UACGGAGGAUCCGAGCGUUAUCCGGAUUUAUUGGGUUUAAAGGGUGCGCAGGCGGAAGAUUAAGUCGGUGGUGAAAUUUUGCAGCUCAACUGUAAAAGUGCCAUUGAUACUGGUUUUCUUGAGUGUGGAUGAAGUAGGCGGAAUUUGUGGUGUAGCGGUAAAAUGCAUAGAUAUCACGAGGAACUCCGAUUGCGCAGGCAGCUUACUAAACUACUACUGACGCUCAGGCACGAAGGCGUGGGGAUCAAACAGGAUUAGAUACCCGGGUAGU